rnacentral:rRNA from 1 species
AUUUAACGCUGGCGGCAGGACUAACACAUGCAAGUCGAGCGAGCGGCGGACGGGUGAGUCAUGUCUGGGAUACUGUCUGAUGGCGGGGGAUAACUACUGGAAACGGUAGCUAAUACCGCAUACCAUCAGAUGUGCCCAGAUGGGAUUAGCUAGUAGGUGGGGGUACGGCUCACCUAGGCGACGAUCCCUAGCUGGUCUGAGAGGAUGAUCAGCCACACUGUAACGGAGACACAGUCCAGACUCCAACGUGACGCAGCAGUUGGGAAUAUUGCACAAUGGGCUCAACCCUGAUGCAGCCAUGCGGCGUGUGUGAAGAAGGCCUUCGGGUUGUAAAGCACUUUCAGCGCGGAGGCGUUACACGCAGAAGAUGCACCGGCUAAAUCCGUGCCAGCAGCCGCGGUAAUUC